rnacentral:rRNA from 1 species
GACGAACGCUGGCGGCGUGCCUAAUACAUGCAAGUCGAACGCAGGGGGGACGGGUGAGUAACACGUGGGUAACCUCCCAUCAGAGGGGAAAACACUUGGAAACAGGUGCUAAAACCGAUAUUGAUGGAUGGACCGGCGGUGCAUUAGCUAGUUUGUGAGGUAACGGCUCACCAAGGCCACGAGGCAUAGCCGUCCUGGGUGGGUGAUCGGCCACACGGUGACUGAGACACGGCCCAGACUCCUACGGGAGGCAGCAGUAGGGAAUCUUCGGCAAUGGACGAAAGUCUGACCGAGCACCGCCGCGUGAGUGAAGAAGGUUUUCGGAUCGUAAAACUCUGUUGUUAGAGAAGCGGUAUCUAACCAGAAAGCCCCGGCUAACUACGUGCCAGCAGCCGCGGUAAUUC